UUGUCUGUGGUCUCAUCUUCAUUGCCUGUUCGGUUGUCUCAACUGUGGUGGGCUUUCCUUGGUUGCUUUCAACAAUCCAUAGUGUGUGUAACCCAAACAAGGCUAAAUUAUCACUGUUUGCACAAAUAGAUCGUUAGAAUUCUGUUGGAUUAUUUGCAUCCGCCGCCUUCUAAUACUUUAUUUCCGGAUUGUGACUUUUACACUCAUGAGCUGCUUAGUCAGGCAAGGCUGCAUCCAUUCAUUUAAAGAUAUUUCAUCUUCCAAAGCUGCCAAACUAAAUCAACCUAAAUCCAAACUAACGCAAACACAGCUACUUUCAAACUAUAAACGACUUCGAGCUAGGCCACCGAUUAGACAGAGGCAAAUUCGGUCGAGUCUAUAUGGCGAGUGAAAGAUCCCUAAUGAAGGCGGGGCCACAGCAUAAAUAUUAUAAUUUUUAUAUUAUAUUAUAAUCCAUAAUAUAUAAUAUUUACGCUGUGCCUGAGCCGAGUGCAGAGGCAGAUUAUGAGGACUUUGAGAAAGAAGACCCUCACCACCAAUGUGUUUAGAUUUUGUUCGGAUUUCAACAUCGAGACUCACUUACGGUAAGUGUUUUUUAUUUUCAUUUUGCUACCGAAAAAACUUUUGGUCUGGUUUCACGACUCGCAUCUCAUCUACUCAUUUUGGAAUAUGCCGACAAAAGCUAGCGAUAAGGCACCAAAAAUUGACGAAACUCUCGCAAAAUCUCUUGCUGACCAUCACCGGCGAUAUAAAGUUGGCGGUUUUCGGAUGAUCUGUACACUCGCCUCGAUUUCAGGGGAAUAUAGCUCAAAGUGCGUUGUGAGGCACUUUGGACUAAGCGCACUGGAGCAAACACUAUGUGAACCAUUGGUGUCCAGGUGUUCUGCGGUACGAUUUUCUGCAUGGCAAUUGACAAUCCUCCGUUUGAGGGCAAGGACCAGAAGAAAACGUAACGUCGCAUAAUAAAACUCGAUACAGUUUUUUCCUUUGAUAACUUUAACUCUUACGCUCGACGCUCGAGGCGUGAUUAAGUUAAACUAAGACUAAGACUAAGUAUCGGUUGUGUUUGACUGUUUUACACUCAAAUGUUUUCGGCUGAUUGUCAUCACGAGCGAUCGUCGAGUGACUCUAACUGACGCCAUGAAGCACCCUUGGGUUAAGGAACCUGAACUUAAGAAUAAUCCUUAAUAACAAUAAUAUAUAUUUAUUUCGAAAAAACUUAUCAACCAAAUCGGUCUGUCUGUCCUUGCAUUUACAGUUGUAUGGUGUGUUAAGGAUUAAAAAAUUAUAAAAUAAAAGUUAUAAAUCUACCAAA